rnacentral:lncRNA from 1 species
GUAGGUGUUGGUUUUGAUGGUGGUGCUACAGGUGGGGAUGACGGUGGUGGUGCAUACGAAGGGGUUUUUGGUGGAGGUGGAGGUGGUGGUGAGUGGAAAUAACGGUUGUCGGGUGGAGGUGGAGGUGGAGGUGAAUAGUAUUGAUAAGCCAUCUUCAAAGGAAGGAAAGACGAGAAGAGGCGCAGGUGAACACAAAUCGGUGCCUGCUACAAUUUGCUGUAUGAAAGAUGAAUAAUUUCACCAACUAUAGUCCAGAUUUUAUAGCUAUUGCUACUAGCUAUAUUCUAUAUUCUAUAUUCUAUAUUCUUUCUCGCAUACUAUAUAAAAAUAUUUACGUUAGUCUUUGCUACAUGACAUGCUAUAACAUCCACUUGUAGGUUUUUCUUUUCCAUUUAUUACAUAUUUCUGAGUAUUCGACAAUCUGAACAUGGGAAAUUUUCUUAUACCAGCCUAAUGGGUAUUGUGUGUUCAUUAUAAAACGAAGGAAAUCAAG